GUCAGCACCACCAUGAGAUUCACCACCUUGCUGGUUCUGCUGUGCCUGUGCUCUGUGGCAAUGGCUUCUGAUUGCCACUUUCCAUGUCACUCUGGGGAGGAAUCGUCUGAAACCUCAAACACUGGAACACCAACCUCGACCCCAAUUCUACCUGCAGGAAAUGGAGGCUCUGGAUCAUGGGCAGGAUUUAGAGGAGGAGGAGGAGGAGGAGGAGGAUUUGGAAGAUAAUUAUUCUGAACUUCAAUAAUUUGCCCAAUAGGACCCUCCCAGACCAAUCAUUUUCAAAAAAGAAGAAUUAAAAGAAUGUCUUCUAAGUAAAAUAAAGUCUAGUGCAAG